GCUAGGCAUGGUGGCGCAUGCCUGUAACCCCAGCUACACAGAAGGCCGAGGCAGGAGGAUUGCAAAUUUGAAGGCAGCCUCAGCAGUUUAGUAAGGCCCUGAGCAACUUAGUGAGACCCUGUCUCCA
rnacentral:sRNA from 1 species